AUUUUUCUUUGUCAUUGCUGAAUUUGCAAAUUCAAGGCGUAACUUCUUUCAAUGCUUCUGCUGCCAGAUGUUUUGGGAUUCACAAUCAGUUCAACAAAAUCCCUCAACCAUUCCAUGCAAAGCAGGCUCAAGAUGGCUUAAAUAUAGGUAACUUCUUCUUGCAAACAGAUCUGCACCCAGGUACAAAAAUGAUGCUGCAGUUGCCACAAAGUACAAAUGAAGGUAUGUUCUUGCCUUGUCAAGUUGCUGACUCCAUAUCCUUUUCAUCUAAGAAGUUACCCAAAAUUUUGAACCGGCUUUCAGUGAAGGAAAAAUCUGCAGAAGCUGAGCUGAUGAAGAAGGAGAUAGAAGAGCUAGUGUGAGGAGGCUGCCAUGGAUGGAGAAUCUAGGUUCUGUGCAACAUCAUUAGAGUCCCUAAUCGAUUUCAGCACUUCAAAGCUCGGAAGAAAUGUGAAUGUGCUGACGAAUGAGGUCAAAACGGGAAGCCAAGAGUAUGAAUUUGGAGUGGGAAUGAAGAAGGUUGCAGACAAAUCAGUGGUGUGCCAUAAGAUGAACUACCCAUAUGCUGUUUUCUAUUGCCAUACCUUCACUAAGACACGAACUUACAUGAUUCCAUUGGUGGGUGCUGAUGGAAGCAAAGCUAAAGCCAUGGCAGCUUGUCACAGUGAUACAUCAGCUUGGCACCCACAGCAUGUGGCUUUCCAAGUGCUCAAAAUUAAGCCAGGAACGGUCGCAGUCUAUCAUUUCCUUCACAACAAUGCCAUGGUCUGGAUUCCAAAGUAAGAAUCAGCCUCAAGCCUCAAGCCCAGUUGCAUUAUCAGUUCCAUCUUAAAGCUGUUUGUAGUAUGAAUGGUUCGAAUAAAUGCAGGUUCGAGGAUUAAUGUGUGUAGUGUGCAAUUGAUGCUAUGUAUUCAUCAAUGUUUCCAGGUUGAUUAAUUAAGGAGUAUUAUGGUAUAUAUAUAUAUAUAUGUUGUGUGCAAUAGUCCUCAGCAAAGCAAUUAGCCAAUAUUUUUUUUUUAUAUUAAUUCCAAUCAUAUGAAAUAUUGGAAAUAACCUUCACUGUUUCAUAUAUGGCCGGAGAAAGAAUUGAAUAAGAUUAAUGUUGUUGUGCCCUGAAGCCAAACAAUACAUGUGUAAUAUGGGCCAUAAAUUUAAAAAUACACAAAUUUAUAAUUAAUUUUAAUAAUAUGUGAUAAACCCAUAUUCUUUAAUAUUUUUUUUAGAAUCAAACAUAACUUAAAUGAUUAUUACUACACCUACACAAGUGAGUGAAAAAACUCUUACAGACAAAACUAAAUACAGAGAAACAGUUUGGAGAUAAGGUUGCCAAUUGCCAACUUGCCAUCAAAGCCAUUGCAUCUUCUUUUAUUACAACAAAAAUAGAAAAACGUGACAUGUUUGUAGGAUGAGUCAUUAUCAAGGGUUUCCUCGUGACAAGAAAACAAAAGAGACUAAAAAACAAAACAAAAAAGCUUUGCUUCUGUGGCACUAUUUCAGUACCGAGUUCACGGGACCAUGUGCAGAGACUGAGCAAUCCUUCAAUUGCUCUCCAACUCCAACACCACCCAUCUGAGAUAAACCCCGGGAAUUUUCCGUAUGAGUUUCUCCAAAUUGGCCUGAUAAAAGGGCAUUUUCAUUUUCAUCUUUAGAAGGCAAAUUAAUCUCCAAUGUCAAAUUUCUUUUAACUGGGCCUUUUCCUGCUGAUGAACCACGAGCAGUGGAAUUAUCAUCCGGAGAAGUUACCAAAUAGUUGUCUAAGGUGCCCUUGCUACUGGGAGAACCAUCGACUGCUCUUUUUGAAUCUUUUUCGAUUCUUCCAGUCUUCAAACCAGGAGAUAGCAGUUUCCUUUUCUUUGAAGAAAAAAACUGCAUACAGAAACCAAUUACAGGCCAACAACGAAUGCAAAUUACUUCAAAUUUGAACAAGAAAGGCGAAAAUCUCUGUAACCCUACCACAUGAAAAUUUUCAUAAAAUUGCCUCAUCAAAAAUAGAAGAUUCGUUGCAUGUUUUACCAAGAACAAUGCAACAAAGAUGAAAUUUUGAAGAGAAAAUGAAUGCCGAAAGAGAUCUAUGGUUUUGGGAGAGAGUAUUGAUGAGAAAAAAAUUACCUGAUCGAUGCGAAUCCGAGGCCAUGAUAGAAGCGAAGUUUCAGGCGAUCUACGGAACCCUAGUUUUUGGCCCCGCACAUACAAGCUCGCAAAAGGAAGUCACUCAAGAGGUUUGAAUUUUCCGGAAUGACCGCCAACAAGUGCCAUGUGCACAGGAAAGGCAGAUGACAAUGGACCCAAACCCGGCCCAUUAAUCCCUGGGGCUCGGGCUGGCCCAAAUCUUUAGACGGCUGUAUUUUCCUUUACGAUUGAAAAAUACGACUAAUUCAAGACGUAACAAUAUAAAGGAAAACCUACAUAAAAAUCACCUUUGCAGGCACAGAGUAUUGGCCCAAAAGAAUCUAUUGCCGACCCAAUUCUUAGAUUAGCAAGCUGAAUUUCAUGUGAGUUUAAUUAACCUAAUUGGAGUUGGUCUAAUCUAAUCCGCAAUCUUACCUUGUUAUGAAUCAAAAUAUUAUAGGCAAGCCAACUAGGUAUAUCGUUAUCAAUCUUAAGACUACGUAUAUUUAGGGUUUAGAGUUUAUGAUUUAUAGUUUAUGGUUCACAAUAGACAAUUCAUGGUUAAUAAGUUAAUAACUAAUAGCAUGAUAAUUUUGAGAUUUAUGGUAAUAUAGUUUAGUGUGUUUUCUAGAUAUCUUGUAAUCAUCAUGUUCCAUUGUUGACAACCUUUCAUUGUUAACAACACAAUAUCUUUUUCAUCAAACUUUUUUGUUAGUAUAGGAACUCUAGGGUCAAGUUGAUUAUGGACAAGCUUAGUAACUCCUUGUCUAAUUGGUUGCAAUCACACGGACCACAUAGCUUUUUUUUAUAAGAAUCCUACUCACAAAGAGUAGUGCAAUGUCCAACUACCCUUGGCAAUGAAGUUAGUGAGGGUUAGAUGGAAAAAAAAAGGGAUGAUUAGAAAAGGAUUGGCUCUAGUAUUCCCUUUCUCCUAGGAAAUAAAGUGGAUGAGUUCAAGGUGGUUUUAUAGAUAGAAAUGAACAGGCUACUUAAUACUGUGGUUGAAGAUCUUUAUGUAGGAUAAUCUAAUCAUAGUUGUUCAGUUAUCUUUAUUUGGACCAUUAUGGUUUUUCAAGUGGCAUGUAAAUCUCUAUGCAAAGGGCACCAUUGGUUACUUAAAACUGGUAUGAUAUAUUAUGAUAGAAUCUUUAAAAGCAUGCCAUGAUAUAACAAAUGUAAAGUUUAUUAUUUAUUUAAUAAUAUCUCAAUUGAACUUUUUUAUAUCUUUGUUUUAUGCAUUAUACUUUAUGAGUAUCCUGACUUGCAUCUCUUUUAUGAGUAUCCUGACUUGCAUCUCUUGUAUCGUACAUAACUUAGGUGGAUUGGGAGUUGUAUAAAAAAAAUCCAAGUCAUGGGUUCCUUGCAAGUUGAUGAUUUGUUUACAAUUAAUUUGUGAACUUAGGCAAUCUAUUUGAGAUUGUAAUGCAUUACCUCUUAGUUGGAGAAAUAACUAGUCUUGGACAUCGAGAUAAGACUCUCAUGAUAAGUGCACUACUGUGUGCAGUUACACAUUAGACGAAAUCUACAGUGAAUCAUGAUGUAAGUUCACAGAAGUAUGAGAUAAUCAUGACUUCACCAAAUUGUUAUGAUACAUUGUCUCUUAACCUUAAGAGAAUAUUGAGUUUUUGCAUUCGUAGUGGCUUUGACCAACUAUUAAGAUCCUAAAGUGAUCAUAUAUUCCUUAUGAAUUGGGUUACUGUUGAUGAAAGCCAACAUCAACAAGUAUUAUUAAUAGAGGUACCAUGAUAUCUCAUGGACUUUGAGACAGUGUGUCCCCUUAGGUAGUUCUAAGAAAGUGUAUUUAGGUAAACUAUAAUCAUAGUAGUUUUUUAAGUAGAAUUUGAGAUAAACUCUUAGUGAGCUAGGACAUGUCAAUUGAUUACACAAUAGGAAAAUUUAUAACUCAAGAAUGGUAGAGGUGAUUUUGAGAGGCUAAUAGUUUUUACCUUACUAGAUUAUGAAUACUAAUUCAUGAGAAAACUAUGUAUAGUGGAGCAGGUUACGGAUAUGACUUAGUGUCUUGUUGUAAUAUACAUAGGACAUUGAAGUACAAUUGACUUUUUAUAGCGGGAUGUUGAGUCAUCUUCAAAAUUUGAUUAUGAGGGAGCUAGUAUUGUCCUAUAAGUCCCAUCGAUCCUUAUUUAAGCUCAUAUACCUCAAUGACUAUAUUUAUAAUGAUUGGAUUGAUUCUUGGUUCACUUAUAUACAUAAGGGUAUUUUGAUAACUAUGUAAGGUUAUAUAAGAAUAAGUGAAAGACAUUUCUAAAUUGUGACGAAAGGCUUCCCAUGUUUAGGAAUGAAUCUAUUGCAUUUGAAGAUUGAGAUAUUGUGGGAUAUUGAGUUGGAAAGAUGGACGAAUCAAGAAUUUGUAAUCAAUUUUACUUCAUAAAUUGAGAAUGACAUAUUAAUUCUCACUUGCCGUGUGUUGAAAUUAGUUUUAAAUAGCAUAUAAAGGUAAUUUAUUGUAUUUAAAUUUAUUUUUCAUAUUUUUUUCUUCUUUAUUUUUUUUAUUUGUAUUUUGUCUAAUUUUUUAAAUCAAUUUAUUAUUUUUAUUUUUAAUUAAUGAAUUAAUUAAUUAAUUAAUUAAUUAAUUAUUCUUGAAAUAAGUGAUGGUCCUUUCAUGUUAUCCAUUAUUGUGAUCACAAGUUCUCUUGUGUCCUCAAUCAAUAUUUUUUUAAUCAAAAUAUUUGUAAAAAUGUUAGUAAUGAAUUACUUAAAAAAUUAAGUGUUAUAAUAAUUAUUUAAAAAAUAUAACUAUGUUUUGUUCUUAGAAUAUAUUAAAUAAAAAAAUACUGAAAAAAAUGAUUUUCUCAUAUUUGAUUUUCUUACAAAAAAAAUAUGAAAAUAUAAAAUAUUAUUAAAAUUAGUUUUCAAAUUAUUUAAUUUUUAUAUGAAAGACUUAUAAAAUAAAUUUGAAAACGUGUAUUAAAAUAAUUUAUUAAUUAUAUAUAUAUAUAUAUAUAUAUAUAUAUAUAUUUUUAUCUUCUUUCGUUUUUUUUCUUUUUCUUUUAUUUACUUUUCCUCUUUAUUUGAAAAAGUGUAUAAAAAAUGAAGUAUUCAUUUUUUAUUUUAUUUUAUUUUUUACUAUUUUAAGUUUUAAAAUUUUAAAAUCAAUUUUAAAUAUUUUAAAUAUAUAAUGUAUACUUUUUGUAUAAAAAGUUUUAAUUUUUAUACAAAAUUUGAUUAUUUUAUAAUUUAAAAACAAAAAUAGGAAAGAUAUCCUAGGACACUUAUUAUGUUAAUUUUUAAAUAAAAAUAUAAACAUGGAAUUAUCGUCUAUAGAUUUUGUUACUUUUAGUUUUUAGUUUUUUUCAAAGUAAAUAGACUAGAAAUGAUUCAUUGAACCCUACUAUCGAUGCCCAUCAUUCCAUCCAUGCCAGAGUGGCCGUGAAAUAAAUUCUUGGUGCCGCCGGACAUCAACAAUCAUGACACUUAAUUUAAUUUGUUAGGUUUUUGUCAAUUUUCAUGAUCACUUUCGCUAGUUUAACAAGGGUCUCCAAAAAGCCCGCGGCCCACGGCCCGGCCCGACCUGAGCCCAUUUCUGGAUGGGAUGAGCCAUGGGCCCAAAUUUAGGCCUAGCCCGGCCCAGUGGGCUGGCCCGCCCGUAGGCCCGCCACUUAAAAUAUAUAUAUAUAUAUAUAUAUAUUCAAGAAAUAGAAAAUGCUACAUUAAUAAAAAUAUUUAUUGCUAACUAUUUUAUUCAUUGAAUGUAUACAUUACAUUUGAAAAUGUGGGAAAAGUUUACAUCACUACAAAAUAAAUACAUCUCAACUAGGUUGACACUUACUUAUUUGUCAAUCAUUUGUACUUUUCAACCAUAAAAAUAAAAAUAAAAAUAUGACAUACAUUUAGUAAAAUAUUUUAAUCAUUAUCUCUUGGCGAUGAUGGCGAACUAUCGCAAAUCCAUGAAGAUCUUGAAGAUUUUAGUUUUUCUAUAUCGACAAACAUAUUUUCUUCUUGAAUAGAAUCAAAUAUCCUUUUAUCUGCUAUUGCCUAGUCUUUCCCACAUAUAUUUGCUUCAAUAGAAUCCGACACUAAGCUGCAUCGUUUAUCACUAACUACUCUUCCACCUGUACUAAAAGUAGCUUCUGAUGCAAUUGUACUCACAGGAACUGUUAGUACAUCACGAGCAAUGAUAGAAAGUACAGAAUAUUUGUGUUGUUGUGAUUUCCACCAUAUUAAAAUAUCAAAAUCUUCAUCAUCUUCAAAUGAAAUUAAAUCAAUAUUAAGAUAUCUAUCUAAAUCAGUUGUGUUGUUUGGAGAACUAUUUGUUGUCUUCUUUCGACUUUUUAACAUUUCUAGAGCUCCUUUAUAAAAAGAUGAAGAGCUUGUAGAUGUAGGUGGUAAUUUAAUAGAACUAAUAUCAUCACCAUAUUUUUCUUUAUAAUAGUUAUAUAAAUUAUAUAAUAAUGAAUUUAUUUCAUUUUUAAUUUCUUCAAUUUUUAUUUGGUCAUUAAAAUAAAUAAUUGUUAACCAUUCAUUCAAAGCUUCAAAUUUCAAUCUAGGGUCCGCAAUUAAACCAAGAUAAAAAAUUAAAGGUAUUUCUCCCCAGUAUUUUCUAAAUUUUUCUAUCAUUGCAAAUAUUGCAUCAUUAAAUAUAUCCAAAUUUAAAUAUUUUGAAGUACAAUAAAAAUAUUAGUUAUUUGCAUGACAACUCGGUUUGAAGAUGGAUGAUAUACACUACAAAAAUUUGGUGGCUAGUUACACAAAAAAGGGUCAGCUCAAUUGGUGGCUAGCUCUUCUUGAAUGCUUAUGGAUUCAUAAGGGAAAGGGUUCGAAUCCCCUUCCCUUCAAAACUUAAAAGUAUUUUAAUUUUUACCCAAUACCCACCCAAGCCCGCCCAGCCCGUCCAGCUUGAGGGCCCAUAGGCUGGGCCACGGGCCUUAGAUUUACCAAGGGCCCGGCCCGACCAGCCCGUUGACCAGUCAACGGGCUCAGUGGCCCGCCCGGGUUGGGCCAUGGGCCUUACUCCUCCGGGCUGGCCAGCCCGGUCCGGCCCGUUGGAGACCCUCAGUUUUCAUUUUGACGUAAAUUUGAUGAUUAAGAUAGAAAUUUAACAUUGGGAAAAAUAGCCAUUAAAGAAUUAUUUGAAAAACAUUUUUUCCAAUUUUUUUAUUGAAUAAAAUGUUAUCAAAAUCAUUGCAAAAAAUGUUUUUCAUUAAUAUCAAAUAUUAAUUAAUUAAUUAAUUUUUUAAUAUGAUAAUAUUGUAUGAAAAUGACAUACUCUAAUACUUCAAUAUAGUGUGGUGAUAUAUUUUUUCUUCUUCUGAUUAAGAUUUUAUCAUUUUUGGACAAGUUUCACUUCUUUUCCAAUACUCCAAUACUCUCAAACUAAUCGGAUGCUUCAACCCUAUAAGAUUAGGGGAGAGGAUGACCCUCGACAUCCUUUGUGUAACACAAUAAAACUAAUUCAAGUUCAUAAUAUGAUAUUUUAUAUAUUAUUUUUAUAAAUAUUUGAAGAUAAUAUUUGAGAAUGUAAGUUUAGUAAAUUAUGUACAUACGGUGUGAAAUUAAAAGGAUAUUAUUUUCAUUCUUAAACAAAUAGAUACUUUAUAAAACAUAAAUUGACUGCUUUGUUGUUUUUACUCGUGAAAGUAAGACCAGCCAAGCAGUGGUGGUUGAGGGGUCACAUGAUUGGUGAUAAAAUUGUUUAUAUCCACAUUUACAAAAACCUAUUCUUGAGAAGGGAUCUUCAGGACACUCAUGUGCUAGUUUAAUUAUCUCGUUGUAAUGGAACUUACAUGAAUAAAUGAACUUGGUGGCAUGCAUGCAGGUGAUGGUGGUAGUAAUCCAUGCCUCUCUACCUGCUGAGGAUUACUGGAAGUUGGCUUUGCCUCGCACUCCCAUGCCUAAAGCUAUACUAGAUCUGUUGCAGUCCAGUUAGUUUCAUUAAAUCUCUACCCUCCUCUUCUGCAACAUCUUUUACUGAUUCUAAUUAUGGUCUCCUAUCAUAGAAUUAAACUGCAGAGUAAAGAUUGUUCUUUAUAACUAUUUGCUUUAUUUCUUGAAAAUUAUUUGUCUAGACUAACAUUUCUAACUCUUCUUUGUAAUUGCUGUACUUGCAAAUUCAACAGAAGGUCUAAGUUCUGUCGAUGCUUCUACUGCCUCUUGUACUAUUCACAUCCACUUCGAUAAAUUCUCUCAACCCGCGGGAGAAGAGGCUCAAGUAGAUGACUCAAAAAUAGGUAACUUCUUGGAAACAGACCUGCAUCCAGGUAAAAAAUGAAGAUGAACUUGGCCACAACUACAAAUGGAGCUGUUUUCUUGCCUCAUCAAGUUGCUGAAUCCAUACCCUUUUCAUCCAACAAGCUACCUGAAAUCUUGAACCGGUUUUCCCUGAAAGAAAAAUCCACAGAAGCCGAGAUAAUAAAGGAGCUAGAGGAAUGCGAGGAGCCUGCCAUGGAAGGAGAAGCAAAGUACUGUACAACAUCAUUAGAGUCCCUAAUCGAUUUCAGCACUUCAAAGCUUGGAAGAAAUGUGAAUGUGCAGGCGAAUGAGGUCAAAACGGGGAGCCAGGAGUAUGAGUUUGGAGUGGGAAUGGAGAAGCUUGCCGACAAAUCAGUGGUGUGCUAUAAGAUGAACUACCCAUAUGCUGUUUUCUACUGCCAUACAUUCACUAAGACACGGACUUACAUGAUUCCGUUGGUGGGUGCUGAUGGAAGCAAAGCUAAAGCCAUGUCAGCUUGUCAUAGUGACAGAUCAGCUUGGCACCCAAAACAUGUGGCCUUCAAAGUGCUCAAUGUUAAGCCAGGAACAGUCCCUGUCUGCCAUUUCGUUCACAACAAUGCCAUGGUCUGGAUUCCAAAAUAGCCUGAUGAUGAAAUCAACGGAAAUAUUUAAUCCUCAACCACAGUUGCAUUGUUCCACGUAAUAGUCGUUUCUAGUAUCAAUGGUGUGGUUUGAACAAAUGCAGGUUAAUUUGAGAAGAAUGUAGUGUGGAAUGCUAUUCAUCAAUCUUUCCCGGUUGAUUAAAGGAAUAUUGUAUAUAUUGUUGUGUGGCAUAAUAUUCAGUAAUUAAUGAAUCACUAUGAAUUAUCCUAGUGUAUAUAUUGUAGUUUAUCCUAGUGUAUAUAUUGUAGUUGUGCAAAUGAUCCUAUUUAUAUUUUUAAAAAUUAAUUUUAAAAUUUGAAUUAGUAAUUUUUUUAAAUCUUAAUUUUUAAAAUGAUUUCAACCCUUUUAACCAAAUAUUUUAUGUUAAAAAUUAUUAUUAGUAUAUAUAUAUAUAUAUAUAUUAGAAAUCCCUAUUUUACUUUAACAAAUAUCUUAUCAGGCUUUUUUUAACUUACACAUCUAGUUCAAAAAAUAAUUAUUAAAAAAUGGUAGUUUGGAAAAAAAAAAAUUUAAAAUAUGAUAGUUACAAAACUAUUAAUAAAUUUUGAAUACUUUUUGUUCAUUUAUGACAUUUUUCAUAAUUUCAUAAAAUUAAAUUUAUGUUGAAGGUGUCUCUUCAAAAGACACUUUUUUCAUAAUUUUUUUAUUAGUUAUACACGUUAAAAACAAAUUGAAGUUAUACUAAAAAAUAUAAUUUCCACAAUGUCAUAGAAUCAAAUUUAUACCAAAGGUGUCUCUUGAAGAGAUAUCUUCCACAAUUUUCAUAUUAGCCAUAUAGUGAAAAAAAAAACUGUAUUUAAGUUUAAGGCAUAGAUCUCUAUAAUUUCACAAAAUUGAAUUUACACUAAGGCGAUGUUUGUUUUUUUCACUUUUUGCUAAAAGUAAUUUGCUUUCAAAAUUUAAGUUUUUUUUUUUUCUAGUUUUUGAUGACUUAUUAUUGAAUUUUCAAUUUUUUUUGGUUAAAUAGAAAAAACAAACUUUUUAAACCUCCCCAAAUCACGAUUGCAACCCGACACCUGACGCCCAACCCUAGCCCAUCCCUUGUAGCUCUCUAGUCUUAAUUGCAAUCGGCGAUCCCCAACCCUCACCUCAUCAUUGUGUAGCUCAUUGGUUCCACGACCAUCACCAAGCUUUCUUAAGGUAAUUUCUUCCCCAUUUUCUCUCUAUUUAGGUUUCAGCUUUCGUUCUUCCUCUUUCUCAGCAAUGGGGUUAAACCAUAGGUAGAAUGGUUGUUUUAUGUUUGGAAAUGGUUUAUUAAUAUAUUCUUUAGUACGAUUCUUUAUGAUUCUCAUGCCAAUGGUUUAUUUUGAAGUUUUGUGGGCAAUUUUGACUUUGUGGGAGUGGGUUUGAUGAGUUUACAGGUUCAAUGAAUUUUGUAGAGAUGCUCAUGGGUUUUUUGGAUACAUUUGUGUGAUUCGAUUUUGACUUUGAGGAACCAUUUGUGUGAUUUUGUGGGCCAUUUUUUGCCUGCUUGGGUUGUUUUUUGUUGCCUUUGUAUAGUGUCAUUCACUUGUCUAAUGUGCAGAGUGAAGCUUUGUCAUUCACUUGUACUUGGUUGUUGGAGGAAAUAAUAAUAUCAAAAUAAGAAUUGUUAACCAAUUUUUAAACAAUAAUAUGCAUUUUCUGAAUGUAUGUUAUUGCUUGAUUUGACUCCGUGUUCUUGUUUCCUGUUGUUUUGCAUUGAAAUUACUUCCUUCCUUUGAAAACCUUCUGCCAGAUAAACAGGACUAUAAAAGAAUCACAUAGAGAGAGUUUGACAAAUUUUGCAAUCUCAAAACAUCUUGGAUUUUCCAAUUUCAUAAGAGAGUGAUAAUUUCUAUGGGAUAACCAAGUUACAAAAAAGUACGGUUCUUAUAUCAAAUGAACAACAAAAAUGAACAAACUCAUUCCUCACCAGAAUCCUUCCGUGGUUGGAGGCCACCAAUCUCGAAAACCCUAGAAGUUUAUGACAUGGGGGAUGAAUUAGAAUCCAUAUUGAAGAGGGCUUAUUUUUACAAGUGCAGAUGCUGAUCCACUCUUUUUUUUUUUUUUUUGUAAUAAAUAACUUCACAAUUUUUAAUUUUAAGCUUCUAUCCUUUGCCUUCAAUCUUCAAUCUCUGCUAUUGUAUUAAUGGCCCUGGGAGCUGCCUAAGAAAAAUGAAAAAAAUGGACCAACCAAACUCAAAGAUGACAAUAGUUUGGUGGCUGCCCUUGAAGAAGAUCCACAGAAGAAUGGACAGUUCAGAAAGGGGAAGAGGGUCAGAAAACACACUACUUUGGGAAGAGAGAGUGAAUUGAAUUGGUUGUUCUUGUACAUGAUCAGAGAUGUUUAAUUGGCCUGGAUAAAAAAACAUAUAUCUCUCAUUAAUAAGAUAUAUAUGUAGCAUAGUCAGGCUUAAAAUUGAAUGCCAUUAACUAUGACAAAGACUGCCAUACACAAUUGUGCAUGGCACAUGCACAUCCCAUCAGCAUCCUAUGCUUCUUAUGGAUCAAAGGUGAAUUUGCUUUUAGUGCAGACUAGACAUGUAAUGUGAUUUUGUUAUCUGAUGGGAUUCUUGGUGUUACCGUAUCUAUGGUUAUAGAAAAUAGCAUUAUUAAACUGGUGGUUGUCUUAGGGAUUGUUAACUUCUUGAGGUUGCUUAUAGAAGAAAAGAUUAUUCUAAAGCAACUAAAGUGAAUAUUGUGUUUGCCAGACAAUUGUUUAUUCUUUCUGUUAACAUUUAGGGCAUUGGAUGGAUUAUCUCUGUUAGAACCUUGCAAGAUAUUGUGAGUACUUUUUUCUGCUUAUAGUUGAAGCCUUUGUUAGUGUUGAAAGCCAGCUGGCUAGUUGCUUCCUUUCUUGAAUUCAAGAAAGAAUUUUUUUGCCACCACCAAAAGAAAAAGUAAAGGUAAAUAAAAAAAUUUAUUUAUUUUUGUAUGUUUUUUUUUUUUUUUAAAUUUUGACUUAUUUUUACCUAUGAAAUUUAAAUAAUUUAAAAAUAAAUAAAAUUUAAACUAAUUUUAAUUAUAUUUGAUUUUAAUUUUUUUUUUUAUAAUGAAAGAGAAAACCAUUUUUUCAGCAUUUGUUUAAGUAGUUCCCAAAAUAUCCAAGAAAUCUCUAUAUAUAGAAACCAACACACUUCACUGCUUUCCAUGCAACUUGCAAGCUUCUUGUCUCAAUUUCUGAGUUUCUGAGCUUUUACCAUUAAUGGAGUUCCUUCGUCCUCUUCCCAUUCUGGCUUUUCUUUCAGUAAGUCCACAUCUUUUUCCUCUUCAUUUUUGUUAUGAAUAUUGUCAAUCAAAUAUUCUUUCAGUUGUGUUAUUGUGAUUAAUGCAACUGAAUUGCAGGUGGUGGUGGUAGUAAGCCAUGCUUCUCUACCUUCUGAGGGUUACUGGAAGUUGGUUUUGCCUCACACUCCCAUGCCCAAAGCUGUGAAGGAUCACUUGCAGCCUGGUUGGUUUCAAUACAUCUCUAGACUCAGUUGCAACAUCCUUUCUUUUAGGUUAUUCGAUCUUACAUUAAGCUUAUAAUUUUUCUUUGUCAUUGCUAAAUUUGCAAAUUCAAGGUGUAACUUCUUUCAAUGCUUCUGCUGCUGCUUUUUGUUUGGGGAUUUACUAUGGGUUCAACAAAAUCCCUCAACCAUUCCAUGCAAAGCAGGCCCAAGAUGGCUUAAAUAUAGGUAACUUCUUCUUGCAAACAGAUCUGCACCCAGGUACAAAAAUGGUGCUGCAGUUGCCACAAACUACAAAUGAAGCUAUGUUCUUGCCUCGUCAAGUUGCUGACUCCAUACCUUUUUCAUCUAAGAAGCUACCCGAAAUUUUGAACCGGCUUUCAGUGAAGGAAAAAUCUGCAGAAGCUGAGCUGAUGAAGAAGGAGAUAGAAAAGUGUGAGGAGCCUGCCAUGGAUGGAGAAUCUAGGUUCUGUGCAACAUCAUUAGAGUCCCUAAUCGAUUUUAGCACUUCAAAGCUCGGAAGAAAUGUGAAUGUGCUGACGAAUGAGGUUAGAAUGGGAAGCCAAGAGUUUGAAUUUGGAGUGAGAAUGAAGAAGGUUGCAGACAAAUCAGUGGUGUGCCAUAAGAUGAACUACCCAUAUGCUGUUUUCUACUGCCAUACAUUCGCUAAGACACGGACUUACAUGAUUCCAUUGGUGGGUGAUGAUGGAAGCAAAGCUAAAGCCAUGGCAGCUUGUCACAGUGAUACGUCAGCUUGGCACCCACAGCAUGUGGCCUUCCAAGUGCUCAAAAUUAAGCCAGGAACGGUCCCUAUCUGUCAUUUCCUUCACAACAAUGCCAUGGUCUGGAUUCCAAAGUAAGGGAUAAGCUGAAAGCCUCAAGCCCAGUUGCAUUAUCAGUUCCAUCUUAAAGCUGUUUGUAGUAUGAAUGGUUAAAAACUUAGAAUAAAUGCAGGUUUGAGGAUUAAUGCAUGUAUUGUGCAAUUGAUGCUAUUUAUUCAUUAAUGUGUCAAUAUUUAUUGAUUUUUUAGGUUACUGAUAUUUUGUGUCAAUAUUUAUUGAUAUAUCUCAUAUAAAUCCAUAAAAUCGAAAUACCUAUACAUUAAUUCGUGAUUACUUAUAUUUUUAUCCCUACUUUACACUCAUCAAAUCCUACCUAUGCCCUCACCUUUGGCUUUCAUUUGCAUUCCUCCUUCAACUAAAGUUUGUAAAGAGAGAAGAGAUGUGCAGUCAUUGCUAACUAUUUGGACAUGACAAAAAAUCUUAAGAGGAGUGCAAAGAUGUUUUCUCAAAGGAGUGCUUAUAUAUAUAAAUAAAGAGUAUUAAAUAUAGAAGAGGUUGACGGAAACAGAGUGCAAAGACGCUUUCUCAAAGUAGUGUUUUUUUUUUUAAAAAAAAGAAUAUUAAAUAUAGAUGAACGAGGUUGGGAGAAAAAAAUGUGCAAAGAUGCUUUCUCCAAGUGUUGGCUUGAUAUAUUUUUUUCUUUUUUCUUUUUAUUUUUAAAUAAUAUCAAUCAUUAAAAAAAAAAAAAGGGAAACUCUUAUAUUAAAGGUAGAAUUUUAUUUUUUUCUUAUCAAAACUUCUAUUUUUACUUAUUAAAUGCAUCACAUGAGUGUUUAUUAUUUUGAUAUAUCUAGAAAUGAAAAAUCUAUUCCCGUCACAUAAGAGAUUUUGUACAUAUAUAACAUGAUAUGCGAUAAGAACAAACAAAAACUACUUCAUUGAUUUUGAAUAAGAACAAACAAAAAUUACUUAAUUGACUUUUUCUUUUGAGUAGAAAAUAUAAGAAUCUGAAUAUAGAGCCAACCACAUAAGAGGACAGUAAAGUCUUGAAUAGAAAUUGAUGUUACAAAGGGAUUAAGGGUUUUUGAGAGAGGACAUGGGGUUGGGAAAACUACUUGAUCCACAUGGUAGUCUAAGGGAGUUUGAGGUAAACAAUAUAUUUAACUUGACCCUUAAUCUCUGUACUUGUAUAAAAUGUUCUUUACUUUGUAUAGUAGCUUGGAUCGAUUUAUAUGGUCAAUAGUAGGUUGGGUUAUCAUCUAUAGAACCAAUAAUCUUUCUAAUCAUCAAACAAUUAAAAACCAAAAGUGAUUAUGGAGCUCAAUCAAAUAAAGAUAUAGAAAUUAAGAUUUUAACUAAAACUAGUCAAAUGAAAAGAAAAUCUCUAGAAAAAUUCUCAAAUCAGUUUGAGGAACCACACAAACAUGUUAGAUUUUAAUCUUAACAAGGUGGUUUAAAGUUAAUACAAGUCUAAAUCUAAUCAAAUGAUAGAUUUAGAUUUGGAAAUACUUGAAUUUGGCAUUUUAGGUUCAAAUCUCAGAGUCAAUAUAUUAGAUUAUUCCAAUUUUUUGUAGUUUCUCGAUUCAUUGAUUAUGCACUGAUUUAUCUUCUAAGAUUCAUUUUAAUCUUAUAUGCAACUAAUCAAAUGAGGUCUCCAUUAUUGAUUAAUAGAUGAUCAAAUAUCAUUGGAACUAAAUAAGCAAUGUCUUUCCCUUAAUUAUCUACGCAGAGAGUUCAAUCCAAAAAAAAUUACAAAUUUAAAUAAGUUUUUUCUCGCAUAUCAUAUUUGGUUGGCAAGAAAUAAGAGAAAGUAAUAGAAAAUAAGAAUUUAAGAGAUAAGUUAAAAUAAUAAUUUUUUUUUCCUCACAUAUCACAUAUAGCACUGGAAGUAUUAUUUCCUUUGUCUUUUUGUUGUGAUGAAACCCUUGACAAACAUUGUCAUAUCAUAUCCCAAGUUUGCAAGAAUAUUUUUUCACUCUCCUAGUGUUGGUGGAACUUAAUUAUUUAGACACGCAUGUCUUAUAUAGUAACUCUUAAUAUUUUAAUAUACAAAGGAAAUGAUUAAGAGCUACUAUAUACAAGAUAUGCAUAUCUAAAUAAUUAAGUUCCAUUGACACUAGGAGAGUGAAAAAAUCUUACAAAUAAAACAAAAGAAGAAAACAUGAUGUGCUUAUAGUAUUGGGAAAUGAUAUGACAAUGUUUAUCAUGAGUUCCAUCAUAGCAAAAAAAAUAAAGGAAAUAGUUCUUCCACUACUAUAUAAGAUAUGUAUGUCUAACUAAUUACAUCCCACCAUACUAGAUAAGUGAAAAAAUAUUGCAAACAAAACAAAAGAAGUAAAUUAACAUGAUAUAUAUGCUUGUAGCUACCAAUGAUGUCAAACUAAUCCUAUCUAUGUGGUUCACAUUGACCUUGAGAUUUAACCAUUUGAAGGUACAUAGUGAAGCUUGACAAAUUGCACACAAUAUACCUAUCUUGAGCCUUGAUUUAUCCAAAGGCCUAUAGUAGGCCUAAUCAUCUUCAACCUUCACACACCCAUCACAUGGUCAUUUUUCAACCAUCAUUUUCCUAGGGAGUAACAUUACUACAUACCUAAUGAUCAAUCACUUCGUUAACUCAUAAGGUUCCUAUGAUUUGAACCUAUAUGACCUGAUUAGUUUGACACCAUUUGUUUUAAUUUUAAAGCUUUAUUACAUCUAGGUAGUUUUAUUAAGUCAUAUAUUGUGGUUUUCCUAUAAAAAUUUCAUCUCUUCUUGUAUGACAUUUGAUCACUCUUCUUUUUUUCAUAUGAUAAUACCUUUUGGUAAGUUUUUGGCUCUCUUCUUAGUGAUCAUCGCAUACUAAAUAAGGGAGUAUCUUCUAGAAUCUAUCUAGCUAUCGGAUCUUCUUAACUAAGAUUCUCACCAAGUUGCUCAUCUUCAUCUAUGAGCUCAUCAUCCAUUAGAGGGACAUCAUUAUGAUUGUCCUAUACAUCUCUCUUAUCAUCAAGACACAGUAUUGAUGGAUGAACUAUACUUGGGUCAACUAGUUCAUCAUCAAUAGAUUUUGGUUUUUCUAACUUACCAAAUUUUGAAAUGAUUUGAUCAUCAAGAAAUUCAAAAUCUCUAUUUUUGGUGAUUUUCUAGUGGACCAAGUCUUAGAAUCUAUACCCAAAUUCUUCAUGAUUAUACUAGACAAAAAUACACUGCUUUGACUUCCAACAAAUACCUUGCAACCAAAAAAAAAAAAAAAAAAAUUCAGAUAAUCAUAAGCAACAUCUUUUGCUAUCCAAAAUCUUUCAAGCACGUCACCAUUCAAAGGAAUUGAGGGAGAAAGAUUUAUUAAGAGAUACCACCUAUUCUACUUACCAUUGUUACCUAAAUCCUCCAUUUAAUUAGCUAAAUAAAAUCCAUAAAUAUCUAAACUCUCCAAUACCAUUUAUUGGGAAAACUAGUUAUUUCAAAAUAAUUCAAAUACAAAAACAAAUCUAAGCAAAACAAAUAAAUGAUUUUUCCCUUUUCAUGUAAACAAAUAUGUAAAUCUAGCUAUAUCAAGUGAAUAAAACGGGUAAGAUAAAUUAACAUAAUUCACAAAAAUCAAGAUACAAAUUUUACAAGGAAAACCCUUCGAUGUGAAGGGAAAAAUCAUGAGUUGUGGUCAACUUAAAACUUUUACAAAUAAAAAAUUAAUAAGCUACAUCAAGUUCUUCUCUAGAAAUUACAUCAUUUUAUUUAACAUAGAGAAUAUGAUAUUUUAUACAUAUAAAUUACACGGAGGACAACCCUCGACAUCCUUUGUGUAACACAAUAAGACUGAUUCAAGUUCAUAAUAUGAUAUUUUAUACAUUAUUUUUAUAAAUAUUUGAAAAUAAUAUUUGAGAAAUUAAAAGGAUAUUAUUUUCAGUGCAAUCCCAAAUCUAAUGCCUCUCCACAACUUCAUCAACAAAGCUUAGAAAUACCCACAAACAUGUCAAAUCUCUCAUAAAAAAAAAGCAAAAAAAUACAAAUAGAGUUUUUCUAGAAAUAUCCAAAGAGUCGUCCUCCUUAACCGUCCUUCCCUCCUCCCUUUCUUUGGUUGCAAGAUGGUCCCUUUAUCCCCAAAUCAGGUUCACCAACUUUCUGCUCAUGCUCAUGCCUUGCCUCCAACUAAUGCUACACCUCUAUUCCCGCUCUUAGCAACCAAAAAAAAAAAAAAAAAAAAAGCCACAAUCAUGUAUUAGCAAAAAGGGUCAGGCCCAAUACAAGAUUUAAUAAAUACAUCAACCCAAAUCUAACUAAUAUAAUAGGCCCAAAUUUCAAUCACCAAUAACAUAUGAGCCCAAAAUCCAUAUCAAUUAGGCCCUAAUCUCAUAACAUCAAGCCAAAGACAAAAAUAAAAAUAAAAACAAAUGAGAAAAUUAAAAUAAAAUGAAAUAAUAAAAAAAAAAAAUAAGUAAAUGAAAUCUUACCUAUCUCCUAACCCACGAAUAGAGAUGCAACAAUUGAUGGUCAUGGGGAGUGACAAUGAAGACAGAGGCACGCUUGUGGCAGUGCAUAAAAGAAAAUAAAAGAAGAAGAAAAAACAAAGAUAAAUAUAAAUAAAUAAAAUAAAAUAAUAAAAUAAAAACUUAAAAGAGAUAAAAAUAGGGAAUAUAUAGUCGGAGAGUGAGGGGGAUGACGAUUGGAAGUGGUGCGAAUAGUAGCACCGCCGAUGACAACUUGGCGGUGGUGGAGUCGAUGAAGAAAUGAAGAAAGAAGAAAUGGAAAGAAAAAAAAAAGGAAAAGAAAAAGAAAGGAAAAUAAGAGAAGAAGAAUGAGAAAGGAUGGAGGCUGUGAGGGGGCGGUAGAAUGGGGAAAAAUGGGCUUUUAGGGUUUGACUUUUGAAAUAGUUGGUGGAGAUUAAAAAGGAAAAAAAAUGGUUAGGAUUAGUUCUCACAUUUGGGUAUGGAAAGUUGGGCCUAGGUUGGACCUAGGUUGGGCUAAAAUUAAAAUGGAAUGAGCCCAAAUAAAUACAAUCAAAAUAAGCCCUAUAAAUAAAUAAUAAAUAAAUAAAUAAUAGCAAAAAUAAAAUAAGUCAUCAAAAACUAGAAAAACAAACAACUUAAAUUUUGAAAGUAAAUUAUUUUUAUCAAAAAACCAAAAAAACAAAUGUCACCUUAGUGUAAAUUCAAUUUUGUUGAAUUAUAGAGAUGCCUUCAAUGUAAAUUCAAUUUUUUUCCACGUGACUAAUAUGAAAAUUGUUGAAGAUGUCUCUUCAAGAGACACCUUUAGUAUAAAUUUGAUUUUAUGACAUUAUGUUAAAUUUUACAUAUAUUUGAUGACUAAGAUAUAAAUUUAAUAAAAUUGGGGGAAAAUAGCCAUUAAAGAAUUAUUUGAAAUAGAUUUUUUUUUUCAAAUUUUUUUAUUAAAUAAAAUGUUAUUGAAAUCAUUGGAAAAAUACUUUUCAUUUAUAUCAAAUAUUAUUAUUAUUUUUGAAUACUAUAAUAUUGUAUGAAAAUGAUGUACUCCAAUAGCCAAAUGUGGUGUGUUGAAAGUCCAAUGUGAUGCCUUAAUAUAUUUUUCUUCUUCUGGUCAAGAUUUUAUCCUUCUACUUGUCAAGUUUCAAUUCUUUUCAAACAACUUUCUUCUUUCCCCUCGAUAUAUAAGAAUGUAAUAUAAUGGAGGAUUGAGAGGUAUAAAGGAAGAAAUCCCCACAUUUAUAAAGUGUAUAAAUCUUCAAGAAUAUAGUAAUCAAAGUAAUGAUGAAAAGUUGUAAUAAAACGUUCUUAUUCUUUUUACCAUUGAUAUUACAUACAUAAUUUUUACUCUCUUUAACGAAACCUUAAACUAUAAGAAGAUAGAAAUACACUAAGGAUAAAUUCGUCAUUAAAAUUUUUUAUGAAAAGACAUCUCGAACUAUGGAAAGUGACCAUCUCCUUCCUUACAUUUAUUUUCAUGUCCUAUUUAUUUUAUUUACAAGCUUGUUAGUUGAAAAUUAGUUGUAAAAAUUAUAUUAAUUCUUUUUAAAAAUUUUUAACUCAGCUUAAUAAAAAAUAUACUAUAAUUUAUAAUAAAAUUAAAGAUUAAAUCAAGAAAAGAAAUGUUAAUAAAAAUGAUUUUAUGUUUGAUUUAUUUUAAAAAAAUAUAAAAUAUAUUUUUAUUUUAAAAUUAAUAAAAUAAAUAUUUUUUUUUUAAUUUAAAUGAACUGUGUAUUUAAAAAUUAUUUAUAAAUUUAUAAUAUAAAGUUACUUGAAGAAAACAUUUUAUUAAUUGGAAAAGAAAAAAACAACAUCUUCCAAACAUGUUUUUUAUUUUACUUGUUUUAAAAAACUUUUUUUAUUAACUCAACCAAACAUGUUUUUUUUUUUUUUUGAGAACAAAAAUUGUUUUUCAAAAUUCAAUUCCCAAACACAAUUUUUUUUUCUUCUAAAAACACCAAAAAAUGUUCUUGAAAAUUGUUUUCCAAAACAGUUUUAAAAAACAACAACCGAACAGAUCCUUAAUUUCAAUAAUUUAAGAAAGAAGAAAGAGUUUGCGGGUGGGGGUGUGGUGGUUGGGUGGAGCUCACUUUUGUGCAAACACAAAAAGCAGCUAAAAAAAAAAAACAAGAAAAAUAAUUUAUUCUUUGAAUAGUGAAAAAACACUGAAAACAUGUUUUUUGUUUUUAAGAACAGAAAAUAGUUCUUGAAAACAGAAACCAAAUAUGCCAAAAUUAUCUUAGGUUUUCUUGAAAGAGUGAGAGUACAACAAUUAAAAUGGAUAAAAAGAAAUAAGAGGGAAAAAAUGCUUUUGAAGGAAAAUAAAAUAGAAGGGUAAACUUUUUCAAAUGUAAUCAAAAUUAAUGAAAUCUAUCAGGAGUAUAAGAAUUAUGGAGAGAGAGAAAGGGAAAACAUAUAUAAAUUUGUAUUAAGAAUUUAAGAGUGAAGAGAAGGUGGGGACAAUGGAGACGGAAAGAUGGACAAAUCAAGAAUUUGUAACCAAUUUUACUUAUCCAUAAAUUGAGAAUGACAUAUUCCCAUUUGGUGUGUGUUCAUAUAUGGAUUUUAUAUCCUUUUGGGUGUACCCCACUUCUACAUCAAACCCAGGCUUGUUUGCUCGUAUAUAUGUAUAUCUUUUUUGGAAUCAAAUAUAGCCACAUAGCCUUAAGAUAUUUAUUUUUAAUUAUUAAUUAAUUAAUUAAUUAUUCUAGAAAAUAAGUGACGGUGCCUUUCAUGUCAUCCAUUAUUGUGAUCACAAUUUUCCUUGCAUCUUCAACAAAUAUUUUUUUAAUCAAAAUAUUUGUAAACAUGUUAGUAAUGAAUUACUUAAAAAUAAAUAAAUAUUGUAAUAAUUAUUUAAAAAUUAUAAUUAUUUUUUGUGUUUAGAGUAUUUAAAAAAAUAAUUUUUUAUAUUUGAUUUUUAAAUAAAAUAAAUAAAUUAUCCUAGAUUUUUUUUAUUUUAAUUGUUUUUUCAAAGUAAAUAGACUAGGAAUGAAUCAUUGAACCCAAUUAUUGGUGCCGAUCAAUUCAUCAAUAAUGAGUGCCAGCAUGACCAUGAAAUAAAUUCUUGGCAUCGCCUGAUACAGACAAUCUUUGUUUUGCUUAUCACUUUUGCUAGCUAGCUUUUGUCCAUUCUUAUUUUGUCUUUUUUUUUUCCUAAUUAAAUUAAAUUGUGAAUAAUAAUAAAAAGAUUUUAAAAAUUAUUUAUUAAAUUAAGAAUUAUUUAGUAAAUUAUAUACAUAUGUGUGGAAUCCAAAAAUAUAUUAUUAUCAUUUUUAUACAAAUAGACACUUUAUAAAACAUAAAUUGAUUGCUGUGUUGCAGUGGAGCUUGAGGGUCAACAUGAUAGGUGAUAAAAUUUUAGAAUAUGAUAUUUGAAGUUAUUUUUAAUAUUUUUAAAAUGAUAAUUUCAAUUUAGAGAAAAAAGAUAAUUUUCAUAUUUAAAUUGAAAAUAUUUAUUUAAAAGAUAAUUUUCAAUUAAUAUUAUAAAAAUUAAAUUUGAAAAUAGUUAUAAAAGCAUCAUACCUUAAUAAUAUUUUUAAAAUUACUGUAAUUUUUUUUUUCUUUCAAAAAAUCUCCAUUUUACUUCAACAAAGAUCUUAUCGUGAUCGUUGUAGAUAACUCUCACGUGGCGAUAAUUCAUGGGCAUGGGCUUGCAGGCUGCGGCGGCACUUGGUGAUAAUUUAAGGAAAAGUUUAAUUAAUUGUAAAGGUCGCCCAUUCAGUCACUCUUUACGUAAAAGGCAAUGAUUGAGCCAAAAUAAUAAAAUAAGGCAUUUAUCACCACGCCAAUUUUUUUUUUUUAAUACUUUUUUCUUCUUUAUGGUAUUAAAUAUGAUCAUAAGAAAUAAAUUAUCAGUGCCGCCGACUGCAGAUAAUCUUCUCAAUUUUCUUAAAGCUAUGUUUAAAAAAUUAUAGAAGGAAAGAGUAAGUGAAAAAAAUAAAAAUAAUAAAAUUUAAAUUAAUAAAUUAUUUUUAUAUGUGUCUUUAAAUUAAUUUAAUUUAUUAUUAUUUAUUAUAUAAAUAUUAAAUAAUUUUAAAAUAAAUAAUUUUUUAAUUAAUUUUAAUUAUAUUUGAUUUUUUUUAUAUAAUUUUUUAUAAUGAAAUCAAAACCCUUUCUUUUAGUAUUUAUUUAUUUUUUCCUAAAAGUACCACCCAAAUAAAAAUGAUAACAUGAUCAAGGUGAAGAUUUCUCUUCCUCUACACUUGCUCGUUCUCACCAAAAUAGUACCAGUUCAAGCCCAAAUACAACUCCGAUAAUGUCGUCUCUGAAUCAAGCAUUCAUCAUCAGGCUUGAUCACUCAAAUUGUCUUCUAUUGUGUACUCAAAUGCUGAAUAUUGUAAUCGUUAAUGGACUCAAGGAGAUGGUCGAUGGUUCACAACCUUCUCCUCCAAUUUUUCUUGAGAAUUCUGAAAGUACAAACCCAGAUUUUUAGAUCUGGCAACGACAUUGUCGUUUUGUCAUGUGUUGGAUUUAUUCAUCUCUCGUUGAGAAUGUAAUGUCGCAAAUCAUCGAUCUCACUUCCGCUUCUGAAAUCUGGAGUACUCUUGAAAAAUUCUUCUUUUACUGCAUUAAUUGUAUUUAAUAUCUUAUUUAUAUUUUAUUUUUUAAAUUUAUUGUAUUUAAAUUUAUUUUUUUUAUUUUUAUUUUCAUAUUUUUUUCUUAUUUAAUUUUUUUAUUUGUAUUUUGUUUAAUUUUUAAAUCAAUUUAUUUUUUUAUUUUUUAAUUAAUUAAUUAUUCUUGAAAAUAAGUGAUAGUGCCCUUCAUGUUACCCAUUAUUGUGAUUACAAGUUCUCGUGUCCUCAACCAAUAUUUUUUUAAUCAAAAUAUUUGUAAAAAUAUUAGUAAUGAAUUACUUAAAAAAUUAAAUAUUAUAAUAAUUAUUUAACUAUAUUUAUAUAUAUAUAUAUAUAUAUAUAUAUAUAUAUAUUUAUAUUUUUUCAUUUUUUCCUUUUUUUAUUUACUUUUCCUCCGUAUUUGAAAUAGUGUAUAAAAAAUGAAGUAUUCAAUUUUUUUUUUUACUAUUUUAAGUUUUAAAAUUUUAAAAUCAAUUUUAAAUAUUUAAAAUAUAUAAUGUAUACUUUUUGUAUAAAAAGUUUUAAUUUUUAUGCAAAAUUUGAUUAAUUUAAAAAAAAACAAAAAUAGGAAAUAUAUUCUAGGACACUUAUUUUGUUAAUUUUUAAAUAAAAAUAUAAACAUGGAAUUAUCGUCUAUAGAUUUUGUUAAUUUUAAUUUUUUUUUUCAAAGUAAAUAGAAUAGAAAUGAUUCAUUGAACCUACUAUUGGUGCCCAUCAUUCCAUCAAUGCCAGAGUGGCCAUGAAAUAAAGUCUUGGUGCCGCCGACACAAACAAUAAUUUAAUUUGUUAGGUUUUUGUCAAUUUUCAUGGUCACUUUUGCUAGUUUUCAUUUUGUCUUAUUUUCUUAAUUAAAUUAAACUGUGAAUAAUAAUUAAAAUAUUUGAAGAAUUAUUUAUUAAAUUUUAUGUAUAUUUGAUGAUUAAGAUAGAAAUUUAAUACAGUGAAAAAUAAGCAUUAAAGAAUUAUUUGAAAAAUAUUUUUUUCAAUUUUUUUAUUGAAUAAAAUGUUAUCAAAACCACUGCAAAAAAUGCUUUUCAUUUGUAUCAAAUAUUAAUUAAUUUUUUAAUAUGAUAAUAUUAUAUGAAAAUGUCAUACUCUAAUAUUCUAAUCAAGAUUUUAUCUUGUUUGGUCAAGCUUCACUUCUUUUCCAAUACUCCAAUACUCUUGAGCUAAUCAGGCGCUUAGGGGAGAGGACGACCCUCUACAUCCUUUGUGCAACAUACAUUAUUUUUAUAAAUAUUUGAAGAUAAUAUUUAAUAAAUUAUAUACAUAUAAAAACAUAUUAUUUUCAUUCUUAAACGAAAACAUAAAUUGACUGCUUUGUUGUUUUUAUUCGUGAAAGUAAGAGCAGUCAAGCAGUGGUUGUUGUCGUUGAGGGGUCACAUGAUUGGCGAUAAAAUUGUUUAUGUCCCUUCUCUUAAUGCCACUCACCCUCAUUGCCAAAAUAGUCCCACUAACCUCUAUAAAUAGCAAGAAGCUCGGUUCAGUUCUUUCCAUCCAAGCAUACCUUCUCAUAGCUUAGCUUUCUGUUUAAGUUUCUCAGCUGUAAUGGAGUUUCGUUCCUUUCCCUUUCUGGCUUUUCUUUCUGUGAGUCCAGAUUAAUUCUUCAUUUUUUCACAAAAAUGUUUUGGGAACAAGUCAUAAUUUUUCUGUUUAAAAAACAAAAACCUGUUCUUGAGAAGAGAUCUUUAGGACACUCAUGUGCUAGUUUAAUUAUCUUCUUGUAAUGGAACUUGGUGGCAUGCAUGCAGGUGAUGGUGGUAGUAAUCCAUGCUUCUCAACCUGAUGAGGAUUACUGGAAGUUGGCUUUGCCUCACACUCCCAUGCCUAAAGCUAUACGAGAUCUGUUGCAGUCCAGUUAGUUUCAUUAAAUCUCUACCCUACUUUCUGCAACAUCUUUUACUGAUUCUUAUGGUCUCCUAUCAUAGAAUUAAACUGCAGGGAAACUGUCAUAUAUAUCAUCAAGAUUGUUCUUCAUAACCAUUAAUUUGCUUUAUUUCUUGAAAAAUAUUUGUCUAGAUUAACAUUUCUAACUUUUCUUUGUAAUUGCUGAACUUGCAAAUUCAACAGAAGGUCUAAGUUCUGUCGAUGCUUCUACUGCAUCUUGUACUGUUCACAUUCAUUUCGAUAAAUUCUCUCAACCCGCCGGAGAAGAGGCUCAAGUAGAUGACUCAAAAAUAGGUAACUUCUUCUUGGAAACAGACCUGCAUCCAGGUAAAAAAAUGAAGCUGAACUUGGCCACAACUACAAAUGGAGCUGUUUUCUUGCCUCAUCAAGUUGCUGAAUCCAUGCCCUUUUCAUCCAACAAGCUACCCGAAAUCUUGAACCGGUUUUCCCUGAAAGAAAACUCCGCAGAAGCCGAGAUAAUAAAGAAGGAGCUAGAGGAAUGUGAGGAGCCUGCCAUGGAAGGAGAAGCCAGGUACUGUGCAACAUCAUUACAGUCCCUAAUCCAUUUCAGCACUUCAAAGCUUGGAAGGAAUGUGAAUGUGCUGACGAAUGAGGUCAAAACGGGGAGCCAGGAGUAUGAGUUUGGAGUGGGGAUGAAGAGGGUUGCAGACAAAUCAGUAGUGUGCCAUAAGAUGAACUACCCAUAUGCUGUUUUCUACUGCCAUACAUUCACUAAGACACGGACUUACAUGAUUCCGUUGGUGGGUGCUGAUGGAAGCAAAGCUAAAGCCAUGGCAGCUUGUCAUAGUGAUACAUCAGCUUGGCACCCAAAACAUGUGGCCUUCAAAGUGCUCAAUGUUAAGCCAGGAACAGUCCCUAUCUGCCAUUUCGUUCACAACAAUGCCAUGGUCUGGAUUCCAAAAUAGCCUGAUCAUGAAAUCAACGGAAAUAUUUAAUCCUCAAGCCCAGUUGCAUUGUUCCAUGUAAUAGUCGUUUCUAGUAUCAAUGGUGUGGUUUGAAUAAAUGCAGGUUAAUUUGAGAAGAAUGUAGUGUGGAAUGCUAUUCAUCAAUCUUUCCCGGUUGAUUUAAGGAAUAUUGUAAAUAUUGUUGUGUGGAAUAAUAUUCAAUAAUUAAUGAAUGAGUAUGAAUUAUCCUAGUGUAUAUAUAUUGUAAACUUAUUUAUAUUUUUAAAAAUUAAUUUUAAAAUUUGAAUUAGUAAUUUUUAUUAAACCUUAAUUUUUAAAAUAAUUUCAACCGUUUUAACCAAAUAUUCCAUUUUAAAAAUUAUUAUUACUAUUUUUUUCUUCAUAAAUCCCUAUUUUACUUCAACAAAGAUCUUAUCGGGUUUUUUUUUUUAACUUCUACACCUAGUUUAAAAAAUAAUUCUUAAAAAAUGGUAGUUUGAAAAAAAAAAAUUCUUAAAAUAUAGUAGUUACAAAACUAUUGAUAAAUCUACAACACUUUUUGUCAUUUUAAAAGGUGUUUCUUGAAAAGACAUCUUCCAUAUUAUUCGUAUUAACAUGUUAAAAUUUUUUUGAAUUUAUGUCUUUUGAAAAGACAUUUUUCAUAAUAUCAUAAAAUUGAAUUUAUAUUAAAAAUGUCUCUUCAAAAUACAUUUUUUCAUAAUUCCAUAAAAUUGAAUUUAUUAUGCUAAAGUUGUCUCUUCAAAAAGACACAUUUUUAUAAUUUUUUUAUUAGUCAUACAUGUUAAAAAUAAAAAUAAAUAAAUUUAUACUAAAAAAAAUAUUAUUUCUACAAUGUCAUAAAAUCGAAUUAAUACUAGAGGUGUAUUUAAAGAGACACCUUUUACAAUUUUCAUAUUAGUCACACGGUGAAAAAAAAUUGAAUUUACAUUCAAAGUGUCUCGAUAAUUCCACAAAAUUGAAUUUAUGCUAAAGAUGUCUCUUGAAGAGAUAUUUUUCAUAAUUUCAUAGAAUUGCAUUUAUACUAAAAGUAUCUCUUCAAAAGACACUUUUCCAUAAUUCUAUAAAAUUGAAUUUAUUAUGCUAAAGCUGUCUUUUCAAAAUAUACCAUUUUAUAAUUUUUUUUAUUAGUCAUACAUGUUAAAAAAAAAAAAUUAUACUAAAAAAAAAUUCUUUCCACAAUGUCAUAAAAUCAAAUUUAUACUAAACGUGUCUCUUGAUGAGACAUCUUCCACAAUUUUCAUAUUAUACAAUGAAAAAGAAAUUGAAUUUACAUUGAAGACAUCUCUAUAAUUCUACAAAAUUGAAUUUACACUAAAUGUGUCUUUUGAAGAAGCACCUUCUACAAUUUUUAUAUUAGUCACCUAUCGAAAAAACUAAAUUUAUACUAAAAGUAUCUCUUGAAGGGAAAUCGUUUAAUAUAAAUUUAAUUUUGUGCAAUUGUGAAAUAUGUUUUUUGAAGAGAUAUUUUUAAUAUAAAUUUAAUUAUUUUAAUAGGUAAUUGAUAUGAAAAUCGUUGAAGGUGUCUCUUUAAGAAACAUUUUUAAUAUAAAUUUAAUUUUAUAAAAUUAUAAAAGAUUUCUCUUAAGGAGAUAUUUUUAGUAUAAAUUCAAUUUUUUUUACUAUGUAACUUAUAUGAAAAUUGUGAAAAAUGUCUCUUAAAGAUAUACUUUUAUUAUAAAUUCGAUUUUAUAGAAUUAUAAAAUGUGUCUUUUGAAGAUAUAUUUUUAAUAUAAAUUUAAAAUUUUUUUAAUGUAUGUCAUUGAUAUAAAAAUUAUAAAAAGUGUCUAUCGAAGAGAAAUCUUUAAUGCAAAUUUAAUUUUUUGAAACAUGUAUAAUUGAUAUCAAAAUAAUGAAAGAUGUUUUUGAAGAGACCUUUUAAAAUGGCAAAUGUUGUAGAUCUGAAAAUAUUUUUUAAUGUACUAUAUUUUUUAAUUUAUGGGCAAACAGCCGGCGGCUGUGAUAAUUUAAAGAAAAGUUUAAUUAAUUGUAAAGGUGGCCAUGAAGUCACUUUAGGUAAAGGCGGUGACGGAGCUGGUGCAUGGACACACCCUACAAAUAAUGCAAAACCUUUAAUUUUAAAUUCACUGUAUAAUUAUAAAAAAUCCGAUCUUAUCGACAACUCCCACGUGGUGAUAAUUUAUGGGCAGACAGCCGGCGGCGGCGCUUCUUCAUAAUUUAAAGAAAAGUUUAAUUAAUUGUAAAGGUGGUCAUAAAGUCACUUUAGGUAAAGGCAGUGACGGAGCUGGUGCUUGUACACCCACCCUACAAAUAAUACAAAACCUAGAAGGCAUGGCUUUGAUUGCACAAGUGGGAGAACCAAAUGAUAAAACAAGGCAUUCAUCACCACGCCAGUAUAGAAUUUUUUUGCCACAGCAAAAGAAAAGGAAAAGGUAAAUAAAAAAAUUUAUUUAUUUUUGUAUGUUUUUUUAAAAAAAAUUUAUUUGAAUUAUUUUUACCUAUGAAGAUUAAAUAAUUUAAAAAUAAAUAAUGUUUGAACUAAUUUUAAUUAUAUUUAAUUUUAAUUUUUUUAUAAUAAAAUCAAAUACAAGAAAAAUCAUUUUUUCAAUAUUUGUUUAAGUAGGUCCCAAAAUAUCCAAGAAAUCCAUAUACAUAGAAACCAACACACCUGACUUCUUUCCAUGCAACUUGCAAGCUUCUUGUCUCAGUUUAUGAGCUUUUACCAUUAAUGGAGUUCCUUCGUCCUCUUCCUAAUGCACAUAAAUAAUCUAAACAUGCUCAUAGCAAUCCUUAAAUAACAAUUAAAUCAUAAGUGGAAUUGAAAACAGAUAAAAAAACGUAUCUCCCGCCAUUGCCAUUUUUACAGUUUAAAAAAUGUGUCUUCAAUUUUUUAGGUUUCAGGUGCUUUUAAACCUUUCUCAACCUCCACUUAGAUGGUGUUUUUUAAGACUAAAAGAGAUUGAAGGCUUAGGGAACCCUACCCUUUAGUUCUCUGCCCUUUUUUAAAGACUUUUUCCAUCACCGAGUCUGCUUCGAGCAUGCACAAAACAUGGAGUAGUGAUGCGAACGUGGUUUCGAACGUUAAUCCUCAUUCCUAAAUUGAUGGAAUGAAUGUGGACCACAUUCCGAAUCAUGUCUUCGGUUUGUUAUCGAAGAUCCAGGAGAAACAAAAUCCCAACAUUCUCCCACUUGGUCCAUAUAUUCCAUCAUUCACCAUAACAAGAAACAAAACACAUGAAUCAUGGUGAUAGGUCCUCUAAAAUCGAGUAUUAUCUUCCAUGUAUCACAAUGCAUCAUGUCUCUCAAAAAUUAGCCCAUAUAAGUUAAUGAAUAAACCCUAUGUUUAUUCUAGGUCCAAACAUUAAUGAUAUUUCUCAAUAAAUGAAUAAAGUGUACACAAAGAAAAUCAAAUAUGAGAAAAUAUCACAAAUAGAGUUUUAUUGAAAAUAACAUUCGUUCUUACAAUGAAAAUCACAUGAAGGAACCAAGUCCCAAUCUAUCUACAUGAUCCUUAAAUUUCAACGGUGGCAUGCCUUUAGUCAAAGGAUCAGUAAUCAUCAAUUCAGUGCUAACGUGUUCAAUAACCACUGUUUUCUCUUUAACACGUUCUCUUAUGGCUAAAUACUUGAUGUCGAUGUGCUUGUUUCGACUAUUGCUUCUGUUGUUCUUAGUCAUAAAAACUGCAGUUGAAUUGUCACAAUAUAUCUUCAAUGACCUAGAAAUUGAAUCCACAACUCUAAGCCUAAAAAUGAAACUCUUUAACCAUACACCAUGUGAGGUAGCCUCAAAACAAGACACGAACUCAACCUCCAUAGUGGAGGUUGCAAUCAAAGUCUGUUUUGCACUUCUCCAAGAAACAGCUCCAUCGGCUAGCAUAAAGACAUAUCCUAAAGUUGAUUUUUGCAAAUCAAUGCAACCAACGUGGUUCGAAUCAAAGUAGCCAAUCACUUCUAAAUUAUCAGUCCAUCUAUACAUAAACAUGUAGUCUUUGGUCCCCUGAAGAUACCUCAUCACUUUCUUUGCAAUUUUCUAAUGGUCUAUACCUGGAUUACUCUGAUAUCUUCCUAACAUCCCAACAGCAAAUGUAAUGUCAAGUCUUGUGCAGACCUGAGCAUAGAUCAAGCUUCCAAUAGUAGAAGCAUAAGGAAUGUUCUUCAUUUGUUCCCGCUCAAGAUCAUUCUUCGGGCAUUGGUCUAAAUUGAACCUAUUGCCCUUCACAAUGGGAGCUAUACUAGGUGAAAAAUCCUUCAUCCGAAAUCUCUAUAAAACUUUGUUGAUACAGGUCUUUUGAGACAAACCCAAAAGGCCUCGAAAUCUGUCUCUAUGUAUCUUAAUGCUAAUGACAUAAGUCGUAUCACCCAUAUCCUUCAUGUCAAAGUUUUCAAAGAGAAAUUGUUUCACCUCAUGUAGCAAACCCUUAUCAUUGGUUGCAAGUAAAAUGUCAUAUACAUACAGAACAAGGAAACAAAUCUUACUCCCACUUACUUUAUGAUAUAUACAUUGAUCCAUAAUGUUCUCCACGAAACCAAAUGAAGAAAUAACAUCAUGAAACUUCAAAUACCACUGACGGGAUGCUUGUUUCAAUCCAUAUAUGGAUUUCUUAAGCUUGCAUACCAGAUGCUCACCUCCACUAGAGGAAAAUCCUUCUGGUUGUUUCAUGUAAACCUUUUCUUCUAGAUUUCCAUUGAGAAAUGUUAUUUUCACAUCCAUUUGUUGCAACUCUAUGUCAAAAUGUGCAACUAAUGUCAUAAUGAUAUGAAGAGAAUCUUUCUUAGAUACAGGAAAAAAAGUCUCCUUGUAGUCAAUUCCUUCAUUUUGAGUGAAUUCUUUAGCAACAAGUCUUGCUUUAUACCUUUCAAUGUUGCCUAAUGAAUCAUUCUUUGUCUUGAAGACCCAUUUAUAUCAAAUGACUUUUGCACCAUUAGGCAGCUCAACAAGAUUAUGGACUCUGUUAGAUGCCAUAUAAUUCAUCUUAUAUUUCAUAGCAUCAUACCAUAAAUUUGACUCUUUGCAACUUAUGGCUUGUGAAAACGUUUCAGGAUCAUUUUAAGCUCCAAUGUUGUAGUCCGAUUUUUGCAGAUACACAAUAUAAUCACUAGGUAUUGUUGUUUUUCUUACUCUGGUAGAUAUCCUUAAUGUUGUAUCAAUAUUUUCUUGAGAAUCAUGUUGCUCAACUGGUUGUUCAACAAUUUCUAGUGAAUCUUGAACAACUUGAUCUAUUGGAUUGUCAUCAGCAAUUUCUGGAACUUCAAUGAUAGGUUGUCUGUUACUUGUUUAAACUUGAGGGGUGUUGUGAAUAACAAUGAAUCUAUCACUUGAAGUGGAUGGUUGAGCAUCAAUAUGAUCUUUUCCAGAAACAAUGUCCUAAAAUUGAUCGCUCCCACUAAUCAAGUCAUUCUUAAGAAACUUAGCAUUUCUUGACUCCACAAUCCUAGUGUUGUGAGAUGGACAGUAGAAUCUAUACCCUUUAGAAUUUUCGGCAUAUCCAAUGAAAUAUGCACUAAUGGUCCUUGGGUCUAUUUAUUCUCUUGUAGGUUGUAAACUCUUACUUUAAACGGGCAUCCCCAAACACAUAUAUAUUGCAAACUCGGUUUCCAAUAUUUCCAUAAUUCAAAUGGCGUCUUGGGCACAACCUUUGUUGGAACUCGAUUCAAUAUAUACACUGCCAUUGUAAGAGCUUCAGUCCACAAGGAUUCAAGAAGCUUGGAGUUGCUACACAUACUCUUAACCAUGUCCAUUAAUGUUUAGUUUCUUUUUUCAGCCACACCAUUCUGGUCUGGGGAACCAGACAUGGUGUAUUGAGCAACUAUCCCAUGCUCUUGAAGAAACUUUGCAAAGGGACCAAGUGUUUGUCCAUCCUCGGUGUAUCUACCAUAAUAUUCUCCACCUCUAUCCGUUCUCACAAUCUUUAUUUUCUUUCUGCAUUGUUUCUCUACUUCAGCCUUAAAAACUUUAAAGGCACCCAAUGCUUCAUUCUUGUUAUGAAGCAAGUAGAUAUACAUGUAUCAUGAGUAAUCAUAUAUGAAAUGCAUCAUGAGUAAUCAUAUAUGAAGGAGAUAAAAUAUUUCAGACCAUACGCGUCUAUGCUUGGACAAAAAAUAUCUGAAUGUAUGAUCUCUAAUCUUAGACUCAUAACAAAUAAAUGAGAUUGGUUUAUUUUUCUUCUCAAGCCAUUUCUAGAAUUUGGUGCAACCCUUCUUCAUAUACCCAUUUUUCUUGUAGAAAAGGCAUCUAUUGGCCUUCUUAAUUCCACAUUGGGGCAAUAUUUUAUCUUUUCCUUUCUUUUUAGUCUGAUUAUGAUCCUUUCCUUCCAUUUCCAUUAAUGCACUCUCACCCAAUUCCAUUUUUUAGUCUUCCCAUCCUCUUGAACACACAAGGUCAUAAGCUCAUUAAUUGACCACUUAUUCUUGUGUGUGUUGUAGGAGAUUUUGAAAUGUCCAUAUUAUUGUGAAAGAGUGUUCAAAAUAUAGCGCACAAGGAAGGAGUCAAACAUUUCAACCUCAAGUGUCUUCAAUUGUGCCACAAUGUCCCUCAUCUGCAUUAUGUGCUCUCACACACCACUCACAUCGGUGAGCCUUAAGGAUGAAAACUUCAUUAUCAAGGUGCUGGCAAGUGCCUUAUCUGAAGUCACAAAUUACUCAUCAAUAACCUUCGGUAAUGCCUUGACAUUGUCAUGUUGAUCGACAGAACCACAAAUACCAUUAGAGAUUUUAGUCUUUAUGAACAUUAGACUAAGGCGAUUUAAUCACUCCCAUUCUUCAUAAAGAGCCUUUUCGGUUGUAGUGUUGGUGUCAGUAAUAGUUGGCUUGUCUUUAUGUAUCCUAAAUGAAGGAGAAUUCUCUCAUUCCAAACCUUAUAGUUAUUAACUUUCAAUUCGGGAAUGUCACAUUUUGUAUUAGAGAAAUUUGCAGGUUGCAUGACUGCACAAAAAUUAAACAUAUAUGCUUAUAAUUCAAAAUUGAGACUAAUAACCAUAUAUCAUGUUUUACCAAUGUAACUCAUGUUCCAAAAUUAUGAAUAUAGUGACAUAAAACUUGCGUGUAGGCUAAAGUUCUAAUUCAAUUAGAUCCAUAUAAAACCAUCAAAUUAUGUUUCAUUUCCUAAUUUCUAUGGGUAAUUAAGAAAUAUAAUUUUAUAUUCCAUCCUAAUUAAUCAUACAAAUAUAAUUAAAAAUUCCUAUGGGAUAAAAUUUUAUUAUAUCAAAUAUAAUUAAUUACCCGUAAUGUCAUUUUUUUUAUAUGUGAUUCUAAAACACUUAAUAUAUAAUUUUGCAUAAUUAAAGAUGUUGUGACUACUCUUUAAUUAAUUACAAUUAUAUGGAUCACUUGACAUUUAAUUAAUUCACAAGAAAAACUUAUAUAAAUUACAUGAAACCAUAAGCAAUGUGUACACAAAAGUCAAUAUCAAUGUACUAAUAUUAUUCAACUCAAUAUUGCAUGUAAUAAAACAAUAAAUCAUACACACAAAAUUAUGAAAUAAAUAUUAUAAGUACAUAAAUAUCGAAAAUUAAAUCCAUAAAGAGCCUUGCAUAAUUAAAGAAUCAAUUUAAUGUGCAAAAUUAUUUUAACUUAAUGUUGUAUGCAUAAUAAACCAUAAAAGUAUACAUACAAAUAACAAAAAUAAAUAAUUUAGCAUAUAAAAUAUCCAUAAAUUAAAAGAUCUUAAGGAGUCUAACCUGGGUAGUGAUUGGGGAAAGGCAAGGCUAAGACCAAUUGGGCUACUACCCAUUUUCUUAUUUUUAUUUUACUUAUUUCUUUCUUAUUUACCUUAAAAAAUAUAAGCCCAUGUAGUUGUCUUCUACUUUUAACCAGGUCUGUUUGACCCAUUUGCGACCCGAAAUGAAACCCGAUGAUUUCCAGGUAUUCCAAACACCAGAUUGACGAUUUAAAACAUUGAAAUGUUAGAAAUAUAAUCUCCUAAUGAUUUCUAACUAUAUUUUUAAUAAAAAACUUCUAAAAACCAUAAACUCCAAAAUACCAAAACUCACUGUAUUUUUUUAUUUAUUGAAAAACGCAGAUUGUAAAAUGAACAAGAUAGAAACAUACAUUGCUCUGAUACCAACUGAUGGACAUAAAUAAUCUAAACAUGCUCAUAACAAUCCUUAAAUGGCAAUUAGAUCAUAAGUGGAAUUGAAAAUAGAUCGAAAACGUACCUCCCGUCAUUGCCAUUCUUACAGGUUAAAAAAUGUGUCUUUAAAUUUUCCGGUUUCAGGUGCUUUUAAACCUUUCUCGACCUCCACUUAGAUGGUGUUUUUUAAGACUGAAAGAGAUUGAAGGCUUAGGAAACCCUACUCUUUUAGUGCUCUGCCCCUUUUUAAAGAUUCUUUCCAUCAUUGAGUCUGCUUCGAGCAUGCACAAAACAUGGGGUAGUGAUGCGAACGUGGUUUCAAACGUUAAUCCUUGUUCCUAAAUUGAUAGAAUGAAUGUGGACCACAUUCCGAAUCAUGUCUUUGAUUUGUUACCGAAAAUCCAAGAGAAACAAAAUCCCAACAUUUUCCAUUCUGGCUUUUUUUUUAGUAAGUCCACAUUUUUUUCUUCUUCAUUUUUGUUAUGAAUAUUGUCAAUCAAAUAGUCUUUCAAUUGUGUUAUUGUGAUUAAUGCAACUUAAUUGCAGGUGGUGGUGGUAGUAAGCCAUGCUUAUUUACCUUUUGAGAGUUAGUAAGCCAUGUUUUUCUACCUUCUGAGGGUUACUAGAAGUUGGUUUUGCCUCACACUCCCAUGCCCAAAGAUGUGAAGGAUCACUUGCAGCCUGGUUUGUUUCAAUACAUCUCUAGACUUUGUUGCAAGAUAUUUUCUUUUAGAUUAUUUGAUCUUACAUUAAGCUUAUAAGUUUUCUUUGUCAUUGCUGAAUUUGCAAAUUCAAGGUGUAACUUCUUUCAAUGUUUCUGCUGCUUGAUGUACUAGGAUUCACAUUCAGUUCAACAAAAUCCAGGCUCAAGAUGGCUUAAAUAUAGGUAACUUUUUUUUACAAAUAGAUCUGCACCCAAGUACAAAAAUGAUGUUGCAGUUGCCACAAACUACAAAUGAAGCAAUAUUCUUGCCUCGUCAAGUUGCUAACUCCAUACCCUUUUCAUCUAAGAAGCUACC
rnacentral:lncRNA from 1 species